CUAACUGCUUCUCUCUCUCUCUUUUACUCUUAUUCUUUCUCUCUCACUCUCUCUCUUUUCCCACCCUUAAGCCAAGUACAGGGAUAGUUGUCUCAUCAUUGGUGGCUUAAAAUGAUGUUUUUGAACAAGAAGACGCCCCAUGGGUACUUAUGGUGGCUAGCACUAUCUCUGUUUUUUUCCUUUUAAAUUCCUGAGCUAUUGUUUAGCAGUACACCCUUUUAUCUCCAUUGCUACUGAAGCUGAAUGUUACUUGGGUGGAAAGCAUAACUGCUUUCUUUUCUAUGUCCUUAAACCCUUUGAUAAUGUUACUGUUUGAGAGUCCCUGAAGCCAGGAUACUAGGAGAGUCUGGCUUGUCUGAACAGCUGAACUACAAAAUAAUGGAGUAGGGCAGGUGGGUGGGGGAGCAGGGCGUUCUGUCGAUAAACGAGCUCCCUUCUUUGCACACAUAGCCAGUUAAUCGGCCAUUCUGAGAUAGUUUGGAUGGGGAGGGGGAGCUUCUGAGAAUCGCCAGUGACAGUUAAGUGGCCUAUUGUUGACGUCCUCUGCUGAACGACUUGGUUGGAUUCAGCUUCUGCCUUACCCCCACCCCCUGUGGAUUUUCUGUUAGAUUCAUCAUUUGCCAUUCAGGCAUCAUCUUUCACUUUCUCCUUCCAACAUGACUGCUUUGUGUGCUGGCCCCUGCUUUACUCCUGCUAUUCCCAAACUAUAAAGGGAACUGUGUGGGGCUUCAGCAGGACUGAGAAAUUGACUCUGCUGUCUGUUGAGAACUCUAAUAAUGACUGCGGUGACCUUCAUGUCUAGCAGAAAACCCACUAUCUGUGCUAGCACAAUGAUGACCACCUGAAGACAGAGAAAAGGGAAUCUUGAUUGAAUUCCUUCUCAUACAAUAUAUAGUUAUUUCCUUUGUUCUCCUCUCCAUUCUCUUCUCUUCCCCUUCUCCCCAUCGCCACUGGAGGACUGAUCUCAAAUGCAGCUGUGACUAAAAGUGCUGUGCUGUCCUGAGGCCUGGGCCAUGGUGCCCAAGGAAAGCCCCUGAAGCUCACCAGGAGGAAGAAGCAUGCAGGGCACCCCUGGAGGUGGGACGCGCCCUGGGCCAUCCCCCGUGGACAGGCGGACACUCCUGGUCUUCAGCUUUAUCCUGGCAGCAGCUUUGGGCCAAAUGAAUUUC
rnacentral:lncRNA from 1 species